rnacentral:rRNA from 1 species
GACGAACCGUGCGAACGUUGUUCGGAAUCACUGGGCUUAAAGGGCGCGUAGGCGGGCACGCAAGUCAGGGGUGAAAGCCCGCGGCUCAACCCGUGGAAGUGCCUUUGAUAGCUGCGUGUCGUGGAAGGGAGGUGAGGGGCGUGCCGGAACUUCCGGGUGGAGCCGGUGAAAUGCGAUAGAUAUCGGAAGGAACGACCGGUGCGAAAGCGGCGCGCUGGACCUCUUCUGACGCUGAGGCGCGAAAGCCGGGAGGGACAAACAGG